AUGCUUGGAACUUUUAACUUAUCAAGCAAUGACUUUAUUUACUCAUAUGUGUAUUGUUUGAUUCGGAGGCUAACAAUAACUUUUGACCAACUAUUGGGAGACCACUAUCUUAUCUUAGAAACAGAAGUAUUAUUAACUUUUGACAAACUAUUGUUAAGUACACUAUUGGGAGUCUUGAGCCAUGUUUGUGUUGUUAGGAGCAUGAAUUUUUUUUCUCCCGUUGCAACGCAUGGGCAUAUAUUAGGUGGCAUCGCUGGUCCGUGUAAAACGGGUUUAAACUUGGCGAAGCUAUUGAACAACACUCUUGCUUUCUUCUGUUAG
rnacentral:rRNA from 1 species